CCCAAGGGGACGGUCGGCGUUGGAACCUAGAACAGAUUCCAUGGAAAUAUCAGCAAAACCACGAAAACCAGCAACCAGCGAGCCAGGCAUCCCCCAAAAUAUCCCAAAAUCUGGAAUGCGCCGGGCCUUUCACGGGGAUUUUAAUGAUCAGUCUGUGUCUGAGCAAGCACCUCCAACAGCCUCUGAGAGCAAGGAGCCCACCCACUGGAUAAUGAACCAUCUUUCCAUCAUUCCACUUCUCCUGGGAGCGUGUCAUGCUGGAAGGCAGAUUUACACUGAGCUGGAAUCCAGCUGGGAUGGAAAAUACCUGGGAUGCAAAUCAAAUCAAAUCAAAUCAAAUCCCUGUGCUGAUCCAUCACCCUGCAAAGACCCUGCUCUGGAUAGAGCUGGCCAAAUAACACAGUGAGAACAGCAGUGCCACCGCUCCCUUUUAAAUGCAAAUCCAGCAGCAAUUUACCCUGAAAACCCCAAGAGGAAACGCAGAGAGGCAGCACAAGAGAUUCUUUACAGCUGAACAUCAAUUUUCAAAUCACAGGAACUGCAGGAGUGGCUCUAAUGAAAGGGGAGCUGGUGCCUGCAACGAGGUGGCCCCGCUUUCAUCGAUCCCUUUGGAAGUUGUGCUCCGGUGUCCCACGUGCCUGGAACGCUCCAGAGCUUUCCCCACCAAGCUGCCAAUUAAAGAGGGUUAAACCAGACCUGCUUAAACCAACAUGGGCUGGAGCAAAGCUUUUACUGCAUCCACAGCUCAGCUCUGCUCCAAAAGGAAAAAAAAAAAAAAAAAGAAAAAGUCUCUGGAGAUGGAUAAAAAAGCAUUUUGCAGGAUUUUUCCCCUCUGGGUCACUGUAAGGUUGGCAGUGCUGCGGGAGGAAAUGAGGGAAGAUUUGGGGCUGACACCAACAGGAUCAGCUGGGAUGAGGGAGGGCAAAAGGAGCUGGGUGGAAAUGCGGGUCCAGGACUUGGAACGAGGGGUUUUUUGGGACAUUGAGAGGCUGGAAAACGAUUUGUAAGUACUACAAACCCUGUGGUUGUCCUGGCAUCUGACUCCAAAGGGAGCCAGGGAGCACCUGGAUUUCCAAGGAAGAGAACAGAGAUACAGAAACCAUUCAUCUCCAUAUUCCCCAUCACUGCAGGCUCUCAAGCAUGGCCAACACCUCUGGAGCCACCCUAAGGAAGUGAAAAGCCCCAGAAAUGGGGUUGCAGAGUUCAGCAAAGAUGGGAUGUGACCCCAGGACAGCACUGCCCAUCCAGAGAUCUACGGGAAGCUCCUGGCUUCGCCCUUUCCUGGUAGCCCCAGCGAGCAAAGUUAUGCAAGAUCAAAUCUGAGGCUCCAGCCAAGAACUUUUAUGUAAGUUCCCUCCUUGGCUUUGCACAGCUCCACUCCCACAGGGAGCUGGGCACGACCAGGAACCGGCUCCUCCUCGGCUCUGCCAGGGCUUCAGUCACUUAAUUCGGUCACUUUAAUUCAAGACCUCGAUUUUAUCCUUAUCCACACUCAAUUCUCCUGGACAGAAGGAAGAGGAUGCUCCUGCAGCCAGGCUGGGCUCUCCUACAGUGGGAACAGCCCUCAGAGCAAACUGACCUGGAAUUUUGCACCUCCAGGGCAUUGAGAAGGGUGGAGAGACUCAGCCAGUUCCUGCUCCUAUCUGAAAAAUGAGGAGGUAAUUCCUUAUCUCACAAAAAAAGCCUCAGAGUCACGGAAAGGCUUGGGAUGGAAGGACCUUCCCCUAUCUCAGGUUACUCCAAGCUCUGGCCAACACUUCCAGGGAUCCAGGGUCAGCCACAGCUUUUCUGGGAAUUCCAUCCCAGCCCCUCCCCAGCCCCACAGGGAAGAACUCCUUCUGUAUAUCCACCCUAAAUUUCUCCUUUUUCAGCUCAAACCCGUUGCUCCUGUCACAACUCCACGGUUGGUCCUGGAAUGCCCAGGCAGUGCAGACACAGCAGGUUAAGCUCAUCCUCAGAGCCAGCUCCCAAAUAAUUCAUGAAAAUGAUGGAUAAAACACUCACAGGAUUCCAAAAAUUAAACCCUGUGACCUCUGUGCCACAUUCCCUCCGCACACAAACCCGAGUGCUGCACCCGGUCUUGUUUGAACAGUGAAAUCUGCAGGUCUGGGGUUUAUAAUUCCACCAAGGGCAUCCAAACCUGCUCCCAGGAAAAGGCAAUUCCUGCUCCACCAACGGGACACGUGCUGAGGGCCAACCCACAAACAAAAGGACACAAAAGCAAGCAAAGUUCCAGGUGUGAAAUGGAUUAAAAGGUCAGGUGUCCCAAGGGAAAAUAAAAAGGAAAUUAAAAGGAAAGUCAAAGGGAUCUCUUUGCUGGACUCCAGGGCAAGGUUCCAUUUCCCACCAAAUUAACACGGAUUUUAUUUGCCAGGCCACGAGCAAGGGGGUAUUUGCAACACUCUGAGAGGACAUGGAUAGCUGAGGAUGGAAGAAUUUGGGAAAAAGCUGCUUUUCCACCACAAGCAUUGCCCAUCCCUCAGCGCCAGAUGAAAAUCCUGCACAAAAAAAUCCCAUUCCUCCCUACCUCUGUCCCUAAAAUGCACUGAAAAUUCAGCUUCAUCAGGGCUGCCCCAUCCCCACCUCCAGACAGAGCCAGUGCCACGGAAAACAAAGUGAUCCACAAAUGAUUGUUUAUAUAUCCCAGAGUCCCUUGGAUGGCUGGACGGAGCAGCUGAGGCAGAUUCAUGACUGAAAAAGGAGCAAGAGCUCCGUGCCUGGAGCGGCAGCGCUGGCCAAACGCUGCUCCCAGGGUCUGCAGGGAAAAGGUGUCCCCUCAAUCCCCCAAAAAUAACCCCACAUGAUUCAAAAUUCUCAAAAACAAACCCCAGAGAGGUUUGCCUGGAGCUCCUGAUGCACAUCUGGGAGUGAAUCCAAAGCAAGCCCCUGCCUUGCUUGCUCCUCAUCAUGGAGCAGAUGGUGAGAGAUGCACUCUGGAGCAAAAAAAAAGCACAUUUUGGGGCCAAACCAAGGACUUGGACACUGAGGAAGCUGGGUGGGCUGUCACCGGUAGAAACAUCCCCAGGAAAACUCCACCAGGAGCCAUCCAGACCCCCUGGGAAGGGGAGAAGGUUUUUAUUGUUCCUCUUUCCCAAUUUCCAAACAGCCCAAUGUUAUUUUUAUCCAAUAUUUUAUUCCCAUUCACACCUAACCUACAUUCAUCUAUUCAAAGCUGAGUCCGGGACUCACACAGAGCCGGCUCGGAGGGAAUAAUGUGGAGAAAUCCAGCACAGAAAGGCCGUGGAAAUGGCAUUUUUUUUCUGGGAAAAAGGUGGAUUUUCAGCUUUCGGAGUCAUUAAUGGAGAACAAACCCUUGGAGGCAGGGGAUGGAUGUCACUGUUACAAGGACAGGCUGGAUCUCAGCAGCUGGGUGAUGUUGGAAUAACAGAAUCCUGGAAUUAUCCAGCUUGGAAUGCUCCAAGGUCACAGAUUCCAAUCUGUGCCCAAUCCCCACCUUGUCCCCAGCUCAGAGCACUGAGCGCCACAUCCAGGCAUUCCUCGGAAUCUCCAGGGAUGGGAAUUCCACCACCUCUCAAUGACCAUUCUAUUUAUCAGCAACCACCCCAUUUUCCACGGAAUAAUCUUCAUCCUUCCCAAAACUGAUUAAUCCACAUGAAUUUCUGGUUGUUAAAAACAAAAUGUUUUUGCCUUUUUUUUUUUUUUAAAAAAAAAAACCCCUAUAAGGUUUCUGGGAGUUUUUUUUCUUCCCUGAUAUGCAAACCUGCAAAACCAGGUGUGUGUGUGUGUGUGUUUGUGUUUGAUAUCCUGACUUUUCCUUGGAUCAAGCCCUGACAAAUAAUCUGUGUCCUUU